AAAUAUUCACAGAUCUGAAGGUAUUCGUGUUAUAUAACGACCAAGUAUUUAUCGUAGAGUAGAGGUUAAUGAUGAAGGGUUUUAUAGUAUUCACCUUGUUUAUUAUAAUAGACACAGCAUCAGCAGAUAACUAUAAUGUGGCUCUCAAUAAAGGUGUGUUGAGCGGUCCAUUACCCAACACUUUAAGUUUUGCUCCUCGAGCUGUGGAUGGUGAUUCAAACAGUUGCAUGCAAGUUAUCAAUGAUACACAGAGUCCAUGGUUGUGUGUGGAUUUAUUAUACAGUUAUGGUGUGCACGACGUAUCCAUCAUCAACAAAAAAGGACGCGAGGACGAAAUAAAGGGAUUUGAGAUUAGACUGAGUGACACUGGUCCGUGUGGUGUAGACGAUUUUGCAUCAGCUAAAAAAUGCUAUGAAGACAAAUAUGUAAAAGGACAGGCACAAUAUUACAUACAAUCGUGUAAUAACGAUCCCCUAACAACAUAUACAGGCCGAUAUAUUUAUGUAUCUCUUCCAAAACUACCUGCAGAAUUGAACAUAUGUGAGAUACAAGUUUUCGCAGAGAUCUGUGCUGUUGGUUUUUACGGUGAGCAUUGCCAAUUUAAAUGUCCAGAUAAUUGCCUAAACAACAUAUGUGAGAAAAUUGGAGGAUCAUGUUCUGAUGGUUGCUCUAAUGGUUACUAUGGUAAUUUCUGUCGUUCUCGAUGCAACGCCAAAUGCAAAAGUCGAAAAUGCUGCCUCUUAGAUGGGAACUGUUAUGGAUGUGAAGAUGGUUACUAUGGGGAGUUCUGUGAAGAGUCGUGUAGCACCUGUAACGGUCCAUGUCGACAAUUAGAUGGUGUUUGUUUGAAAGGAUGUAAAGCAGGAAAUUGGGGAUCGAAUGGUUUGUGUCUACAGAAAUGUCCUUCAUGUGAUAAAAAGGCCUGCAAUGAAGCCGAUGGCGUAUGUCAGGCAUAAUAAUAACUAGAAGAGACGUAGUUAUAAAACAAAAAAUUUGAUUGAA